rnacentral:rRNA from 1 species
GACGAACGCUGGCGGUGUGCCUAAUACAUGCAAGUCGAGCGAUGCUGCGAGCCGCUCGUCAGACGUCUGAGUAACACGUUGGUAACUGUCACAAACUCGGGGAUAACCCCGGAAAAUCGGUCCUAAUACCGAAUGGUCCCCUAAUACUAAAGUUUUUACGGUUUGAGAGGUGCCUGAUUCCUAUCAUGUAGUUGGUGAGGUAACAGCUCACCAAGCCUAUGACGGGUAAGUUGGCUGAGAGGAUGACCAGUCAGAGGGAAACUGAGAAACGGUUCGGAAUCCUACGGAAGGCAGCAGUAAAGAACCUUGCAAAGCGGAGGAAAGUCUGAUGGAGCGACGCUGCGUGAAGGAUGAAGGUACUUGAGUCGUAAAGUGAUUUUUUGGGGGACAACUUCUGACUGUACCUUAAGAAUAAGCAACGGCAAACCACGUG